UGGGGAAUUUUGGACAAUGGGCGAAAGCCUGAUCCAGCAAUGCCGCGUGUGUGAAGAAGGCCUUCGGGUUGUAAAGCACUUUUGUCCGGAAAGAAAUCCUUGGCUCUAAUACAGUCGGGGGAUGACGGUACCGGAAGAAUAAGCACCGGCUAACUACGUGCCAGCAGCCGCGGUAAUACGUAGGGUGCAAGCGUUAAUCGGAAUUACUGGGCGUAAAGCGUGCGCAGGCGGUUUGCUAAGACCGAUGUGAAAUCCCCGGGCUCAACCUGGGAACUGCAUUGGUGACUGGCAGGCUAGAGUAUGGCAGGAGGGGGGUAGAAUUCCACGUGUAGCAGUGAAAUGCGUAGAGAUGUGGAGGAAUACCGAUGGCGAAGGCAGCCCCCUGGGCCAAUACUGACGCUCAUGCACGAAAGCGUGGGGAGCAAACAGGAUUAGAUACCCUGGUAGUCCACGCCCUAAACGAUGUCAACUAGUUGUUGGGGAUUCAUUCCUUAGUAACGUAGCUAACGCGUGAAGUUGACCGCCUGGGGAGUACGGUCGCAAGAUUAAAACUUAAAGGAAUUGACGGGGUCAUAGCUGUUUCCU
rnacentral:rRNA from 1 species